rnacentral:lncRNA from 1 species
AGCAAGAGUAAAGUAGGGUCCCCAUCAUUAAUUGCUGCCAGAUUGUGGAGGGCCUUUUGGAAUGGUAGCCUGUAGGCAAUGGAGGAAGAAAGAAGAUCAUUCAAGGUUUUUGCAUAGAGUAGUGACGUGAUUUUGGUUAACUUAAUUUUGGAGGCAUUAUCCAGUAUAAAUUAAUAAAUCCCCUUGAAAUAAUGCCCUGGGGACACAGAAAUGUUAACUGAUUCCACAGUAAAAGCCCAUGUAUAAUCUAGGUUUGUCUCUUUCCAAAUAGAAAUUAUAAGUUGUUUCCAGGAACCUACGUGGAACAAGCAGGGUGGUUCACAUUGUGUCACUUCCUUGGUAUUAAUUCCAAACUAGAAUGAAAAAGCUUUAAGCCUCUUUUGAAAAGAUUUGUAAUAGAAGUAGACUUGGUAGGUGGAGAGUGACUGGGACUAAGUUUAAAUAGAAAAAAUGAGAAAAAAAUUACUAGAGAAAGCAUUUUUGGAUAGCUAUAAUCCUUCACUUACUUAUGCAUAGUGAAGGAAAUAAUAAAAAAUUGUUUAAAUUAUUUUACUAUUGUAAGUCCUGCAUAAGUUAGCUAGCUACAAGGUUGUAUGGGCUGCGAAACAUUUGUACUUUAAACAGGAUCGAGUUGUGGGAUAGGUAAAGCUGUGAGCCAUUGCACUACCUGCUAUUGUGAGGGGCUUUUCGUAGUUUAGGAUAUGAGGAAUAAAGCCUAUGAGAUUUCUUCUCAGAUGGCCUGGAAGAAAUCCAAAAUAGAAAAUGGUAGAAAAACAGAGUAUUCCUAUUUGAAAUUUCAGAUAUUAUGAUUUAAUUUGCAUUUGACUUAUUUCUGAAAAACACAGUAGAAACACCCCCAUAAUAAAGUUAUGUUAUUCCUCUAGUCUACAGACUUGAGUAUGGGUGAGUGAAAUGUAUAAAAGAAAACAUUUUUUGAGGUAGGAAUAGAUUCAUCAUUGAGUUCCUCUGCCAAAUUCAGAAUUAGAUAGUGGAAAAAUUCUAUUUAUUUUGAGUUUGUUAAUCUGCCAGCAAACUGUUGGGAAAAAUAAAGACAAGCCAGAUGAGGACUUGGGUUAUGGAAUGAACCAUAGAUGACAUAUGAGUGAACUUUUUAAGAGAAUAUAGUUGUUCCUACUUUUAUUUCCUGUUUGUAGUUUAGAGUGUUUAAUAACUUUGAUUUGCAGUGUGCAUUUCUACUGUACUAAACUGUAGCAGCAAAAUGGAUAACACAGCAUAUUGCUGUGUUGAAAUUAACCUUAAGUAAGGGUCAGGAAAUUGAAAAUAUCACGUUUCCAUAGUAACACUAAUUUAGUCAGAUCACACAUGUUGUUUCUGAGCCAUUAGUUUACUCUUAUGAUAUUCUGGAUGGGAACACAAUAUUUACUCUGGAAUGUGGUUAAGUUCAUGUUACAAUGCAAAGCAAUUUCAUAUUUUCUUUAUGUCCAUUUUAAAUCCUUUAUUAUGGUUGGUUUGAUAUCUGAUUCCUUGUGCUAUUUGCAAAAUGCAAAAAUGUAACAGUUUUUUAAAAAGUUUCUGAAGAUAAUUAAAUAGGAAAUCAUGAAUAUAUCAUAUUUAUAUAACAAUUAUGGAAAAAUUGUAAGAAAGAGGAACUGGAUUUUGAAAGUUUGCGUCAGAAUUUUUGGGUAAUUGUUAGGUAAUUUAUUUGGUCUUCCAACUGGGUGGCUCUGACUUGAUCUGAUUUUAGUUUUCAUGGUUGUCAAAUUCCAUAUGAUAUCUAGUAGGGAUUUUCCCCAUCUUCUUUUGAAUUCCAAAUUCAUGAAUACUGCUAUAGCUCUGUCUUUGGCUGACAUUUCAGGCCCACUUUUCCAUAAAGAAGCCUCUCACCCCACAACUUCAUAGGAACUAUUACCAAGAUAAUGACCUAUAGAAAAGGGCAAAUCUGCCUUCCAAGUGGGCCCUUUCUCAGUGCACACACCAAGCACAUUCCUAUGCCUGCCUGUACACAUGAGUCUUGUGUGUGAUUCAAAUCUGCUUCUUAGUAAAAUGACAAAAUGCUGCAUGUCAUAUCUUUGAGGCUAUUCAUGACUAUCACAUCGAUUUUCAGCUGUGCAUUUCUGGGAUAAAUCUCACUUGAUCAUAGUAUAUAAUUCUUACUAUAUGUUGCUGGAUUUGGUUUGCUAGUAUUUUGUUGAUGAUUUUUAUUUCUAUUUCCAUAAGCAAUAUUGGUCUGUAGUUUUCUUUUCCUUUUUCCUUUUUUUUUUUUUUUUUGAGAUGAAGUGUCACUCUAUCCCCCAGGCUGGAGUGCAGUGGCAUGAUCUUGGCUCACUGCAACCUCUGCAUCCUGGGUUCAAGCAAUUCUCCUGCCUCAGCCUCCUCAGUAGCUUGGAUUAGAGGCACUUGUCCCCAUGCCCAGGUAAUUUUUGUAUUUUUAGUAGAGAUGGGGUUUCACCACAUUGGCCAGGCUGGUUUCGAACUCUUGACCUCAAAUGAUCUGACUGCCUUGGUCUCCCAAAGUGCUAGGAUUACAGGCGUGAGCCACUGCACCUUGCCAGGUCUAUAGUUUUCUUGUAACAUUCAUGAACAUUAGAGUGUACUGUAUUACCCAAACUCUCAUUCAGUUCACUUAAGAAAAACAAAAGCAAUGAAGAAAAUCACAAUCAUGCCUUUUGGUAUUGUAAAUAUGAAUACAAUUUAUUUGGUUGAUUGGACAGUUUCUUUCUUUCUUUCUUUCUCUCUCUCUCUCUCUCUCUCUUUCUUCUUUCUUUCUUUCUGACACGGUCUUGCUCUGUCACCCAGGUGGGAGUGUAGUGGCAUGAUCAUGGCUUGUUGCAGCCUCCACCUGUUGGGCUCAAGUGAUCCUCCCGCCUCAUUUUUUGAUUUUUUGUAGAGACGAGGUCUCACUGUGUUGCCCAGGCUGGUCUUGAACUCCUGGGCUCAAGCGAUCCUCCUGCUUUGGCCUCCCAAAGUGUUGGGAUUAUGGGUGUGAACCACUGCUCCUGGCCUGGACAGUUCACUUGCUUGCCAGUCUCAGUGCUAAGUAAUAUGGAGAGAUUAAAUUCAAUACAAGACAUUAUUUAUUGAAUGCCUAAUAUGCUAGGCUUGUGCUUGGUACUGGGGGUAUUGAUGAGUAUUGAAAGGUAGUAGUUACAUAGUGGGUAAGAGUAGUUGGAUUUGGGUCCUACCUUUACUACUUCCUAACUGAUGGACCACAGACAAAUUACUUAAACCUGUUUCCUCAUCUGUGAAAUGUGGCUACUAAUAGCAUGUAAUAUAGGAUUGCUGUGAAGUUUAAAUUAAGAAUACAGGUAAACAGUGCCUGAUACUUAGCUAUCAGUAGAUACAGUUUAGCUUUAUUAUUAUUUGUUUUUCUUGUACCAGAACUUACAUACAUCAUUUCAUUUAAUUCUCAUAACAGCCCUGCUGAGGAGCUUAGUAUUAGCUCCAUUUUCAUAGCUGAGAAACCUUUGCUUCUAGAGGCUAACCAACUUACCUGAGAUCACAGAUAUGGCUACUGGUAGAAGCAUAACUCACAUCCAGAAUAUUCUUGACUGCCAAGCUAGUGUUAAAAAACAUAUAGUCUUUCCCUGGCUUAAAGGAGCACUCACCUAGAUUUUCCAGGUAGCCCUGUCCAAUUAUUAGUUUAGAUUCUUUAAGUUUCCAGAGAAGAUGUUUUGGUGCCAUAUUCCAGUGACUUGUUCCCCUAAAGUCAGUUAAAAAAAAAAAGUCUAAUACCAAUGUCAUCUAUUGUAUUAGAACUCUAUUUCUUUUCUUUCUUUUUUUUUUUUUUUUUUUUUUUGAGAUGGAGUUUCACUCUUGUUGCCCAGGCUGGAGUGCAAUGGUGCGAUCUCAGCCCACCGCAACCACCGCCUCCCAGGUUCAAGCAAUUAUCCUGCCUCAGCAUCCCAAGUAGCUGGGAUUACAGGCAUGCACCACCACGCCCGGCUAAUUUUGUAUUUUUAGUAGAGACGGGAUUUCCCCAUGUUGGUCAGGCUGGUCUCGAACUCCCAAGCUCAGGUGAUCCACCCACCUCGGCCUCCCAAAGUGCUGGGAUUACAGGCGUGAGCCACCACACCUGGCCUAGAGCUCUAUUUCUUCCUUAGUAUACAGAAGAAAUGUAUCUGUCUAUGUGGCAACCUAAAGUGAAGGUAUUCUGGUAGUUUCUCUGACAUUUACCUAGAGAAUUCAUUGUUAAAUGCAGGAAAAGCACAUACUAUAUAGAAAGCUUGGUUUUUCUGGAUUUCUCUUCAAGGUUAGAAAGCUCAAUUAAGGAUCUUUUAUUAUCUUUCUAGACCCUCUCUCUGCCCUUGAUUUUGAUCCGUGUUUGACCAAGGAUUUUUUUCCAGGGUCUCUGACUACCUGUUCAUGGGUUUGGUUCCCACCUUGCUAUACUUUCUAAGUGCUCCGUUUUCACAUCACUUGAAGGGCCUCAGAGGUCCCCUCAAAAUAAAGCCUUAUAAGCAAUAUAUACUUAGAACUGAAGUUUCUAGGAAAGAUGGGUGAAUACCUAAAAAUGAGAAAACUUUCUGAAAGGAAAAAAAUCUUUAUUUUAAAGGAAAAAAAAUUCCAGUGCAUACCAAAUAUGACACAAAGCUGAUACCCACCCAGUGGCCAGAUAUGUUUUCCUGAGGGAUUUCCUUGUGUUUAUUCCUCUAGCAUUUUUUCAUUCCUGACUUUUGGGGUGGCCCUUCUGUGAAGAGUUUCCUCAUCCCAGCUGUUAUGAUGUUUAAUCUAGAGUUGCCAACUUCUGAUCCGGCGGUUCCAAGACACAGGGUGAGGAAAACAAAGCUUUCCAGUAUUUCUGAAUCUGAACCCCCACCCGCAUUGGAAUUACUGCUUUAAUCUCUGGUCAAUCCUGAAUUGUUUUCAACCCUAGCUUUAUCUCUCCUCUCCCCCGGAAUAGCAGAAGAAUUACUAAUGGUAAAGAUCUAUGCCCAUGUCCAGGGUUCAAAUUACUUAUGCUCCGCACAAACCUCAAUUUAUGUCUCUUUUCUUUUUCUUUCCCUCCCCUCCCUUCCACCCAAGUAAACUAUGGUGUCUUUGGGUCUGUGUGUUUGAAAUAAUUUACUUUCAAGAGCUUUUUACUUUUUUAAGAUAAAAAUUAGAUUAUAGUUUUUUAAGCUAACUGGGGUUAUUUUUUCUUAGGAAAAACAGAGUAAUCAUUAAACAGGCUAACCAUCUGGUUUUGAUCCUAAUGUUAGUCCAUGAGAUGGCUUGACACUUUAAAUAAGCAAAGUCAUGGCUUUUCGUUUAGAAAUAUGCAAGGAUGGCUACUCCUGGCUCCAUCCUGCCCUUGGCCUGAUUGUUUAAUGUUAAGGUGGAAUGAUCCUGACUGGUCCUCUGUUUUAUGCCUGACCUGCUGCAGCACUAGUCAGAUAAGGAAUUAGGGAAAAGCAGAAUUAUUACUCAAAGGCAGAAAACAAGGCACAGAUUUAUAUGAAGAAACAGCUCCUUUUUCCAAAUAUGGAGAAACACAAAACUUACAGUACGGUAACAUGUUGCUUUUUUCUGGUACAUUCAACUAGUACUGUGAAUGAAGCUACCUCUGGCAAUGAAAAGUAUUUAGGAAAUCAAAUGGUAAAGUAGGAAAAUGGUGUUUUUUAGUUCUCUUACUGUCCCCAAGUUUCUGGUAUAACAUGACUAUUCCCACAUGGCUUUGUUUAAGGACACCCCCCUCAAAGCCCCCACAGAUUUGCCUUUAGACCAUACCCCUUGCUCUGGAUCUUUUCCUCACCCUACUGUCCUUGGUAAGGAUGGAUAGCCACUGACCUGAAACAGUCUAUUUAUUAUUUAUUUAUUUAUUUAUUUUUGAGGCAGAGUAUCGCUCUGUCACCCAGGCUGGAGUGCAGUGGCGCAAUCUCUGUUCAUUGCAACCUCUGCCUCCUGGGUUUGAGCGAGUCUGCUGCCUCAGCCUCCUGAGUAGCUGGGAUUACAGGC